rnacentral:lncRNA from 1 species
AACAAAUAUACCUCCAAAAUAGUCAAUAUACUCGUACACAUGCCAACCAAUGGCUCAUACCACACACCACAUAAUCUCCAGUAACAAAACUCGUGGAACGAUUGCUUGAAGUGGGCUGGUGGCAGAAACGUCACAUAUCCACUCCUGGAUAACCUCGAAAUCAUGACCGAAGAAACUGAUAACUCCCGAGAAAACUGACGAACUUAAACAUCGCCCAACUGCUGAACAUCUGGCGAGAACCCUGUUAGUCGAAGGACGAAUGACGAUGUUUUUACUCAUCGUCAUAGAAAGAGACAUUUGAGUUAGUAAUCACUGGACAGAAUGGUGCUAAAAGAAUUUCGAAAUAUAUUAAUAAAUAUUUUUUUUUUAAAAAAAACAAAAAGAACGUUGAAAACCGAUGAAAACCGAAUCCCCUGACCGCCAUCCCGGACGGAACCGGGAUGGAACCCCGCUCUGAUACCAAAAUUGCCACACCCGUCACCUCCUAUCUGGAGGACAGCGUGUCACCCCCGACGCGUCAUCAUACAACAAUGUGACAUCCGUCUCCUUCUCACUAAGGACGACGGGCCACCAACAAUAUCCCAUAAUAUAAAAGCCCAUAAACUCAAUAACGCUCACCCAAAACCCAAAUAAAAAUCUGUAGGAAAAGUCCAGUAGCACCAAGUCCGUCCAAAUAUCACAUACUUAUUUGUCUCACCUGAAAAAGGGGAAGAGUGAGGGGGGUGAGCGAUAGGUGAAUCGCCCAAUGAGGUAUGGGGGAUGCUACCCCGAAGUCCAUGGACCCGGACAUAGCACUCCGAAUAAAUAUAAAUUAAUUCUAAUGCAUGUCAAACACGGUACCUAAAGUACCCAAGCAACAAACAAUGGUCCUAGCGAGGUGCACACUCGCCGCCCACUAACAGGCCAAAAACAUAACACAACUCGAGAUAGUGCUCGGACACCGCCCGUGGACGAUUUAUCGACACUUCCAGGCUACAGCUCAACCGGUCGACUAAAGUUGGCCAUAACCUCAUACAAUCCGGCAUACAGAAGUCCGUCUCUGUAUCCGUCUCCACACAAAAACAAUCCUAGCUAAGAUUUUACAUUUAAGUGAAACAAUCAAUGUUGAAUCCUCUAGCCCCCUAGUUCCGGUUUAUGCAAAGAACCUAAUAACUAAACAAGCAAUGACAGACUCGAUUUCAAGCAGACGGAACACAUUAGAAAUAAGUUAUAUUUAUUCGAGGUCCUAAGCCGUGUAAGAGGAGUUCGGGAAUAGACCCUCACCUUAGCAAUAGAAAAGUAGUGUUUAUGAACUCCAGCUGCUCA